rnacentral:rRNA from 1 species
CCUACGGGUGGCAGCAGUGAGGAAUAUUGGUCAAUGGGCGCUAGCCUGAACCAGCCAAGUAGCGUGAAGGAUGACUGCCCUACGGGUUGUAAACUUCUUUUAUAUGGGAAUAAAGUGAAGUAUGUAUGCCGCUUUGUAUGUACCUUAUGAAUAAGGAUCGGCUAACUCCGUGCCAGCAGCCGCGGUAAUACGGAGGAUCCGAGCGUUAUCCGGAUUUAUUGGGUUUAAAGGGAGCGUAGGCGGGUUGUUAAGUCAGUUGUGAAAGUUUGCGGCUCAACCGUAAAAUUGCAAGUGAUACUGGCAGUCUUGAGUACAGUAGAGGUAGGCGGAAUUCGUGGUGUAGCGGUGAAAUGCUUAGAUAUCACGAAGAACUCCGAUUGCGAAGGCAGCCUACUAAACUGUAACUGACAUUGAUGCUCGAAAGUGUGGGUAUCAAACAGGAUUAGAUACCCUAGUAGUC